rnacentral:rRNA from 1 species
GACGAACGCUGGCGGCGUGCUUAACACAUGCAGGUCGAACGGAAAGGCCCUGCUUGCAGGGUACUCGAGUGGCGAACGGGUGAGUAACACGUGGGUGAUCUGCCCUGCACUUCGGGAUAAGCCUGGGAAACUGGGUCUAAUACCGGAUAGGAGCCAUUUUUAGUGUGAUGGUUGGAAAGUUUUUUCGGUGUAGGAUGAGCUCGCGGCCUAUCAGCUUGUUGGUGGGGUAAUGGCCUACCAAGGCGGCGACGGGUAGCCGGCCUGAGAGGGUGGACGGCCACAUUGGGACUGAGAUACGGCCCAGACUCCUACGGGAGGCAGCAGGGGGGAAUAUUGCACAAUGGGCGCAAGCCUGAUGCAGCGACGCCGCGUGGGGGAUGACGGCCUUCGGGUUGUAAACUCCUUUCGCUAGGGACGAAGCUUUUUGUGACGGUACCUAGAUAAGAAGCACCGGCUAACUACGUG